GACGAACGCUGGCGGCGUGCCUCAAACAUGCAAGUCGAGCGGGGAACUUUUAAAAGCGCAAGCUUUUAUAAGUUCCUAGCGGCGAACGGGUGAGUAACACGUGGGCAACCUACCCAGAAGACCGGGAUAACGGCUCGAAAGGGCCGCUAAUACCGGAUAAUGUCGGGGUACCGCAUGGUACUCCGAAGAAAGGGGAAACCCGCUUUUGGAUGGGCCCGCGUCCCAUCAGCUAGUUGGUGAGGUAACGGCUCACCAAGGCGACGACGGGUAGCCGGUCUGAGAGGAUGGUCGGCCACACUGGGACUGAGACACGGCCCAGACUCCUACGGGAGGCAGCAGUUGGGAAUCUUGGGCAAUGGGCGAAAGCCUGACCCAGCGACGCCGCGUGAGGGAAGAAGGCCUUCGGGUCGUAACCUCUGUCAUGGGGAAGAAGCAAGUGACGGUACCCAACGAGGAAGCCCCUGCUAACUACGUG
rnacentral:rRNA from 1 species